AUGAGAUGUAUGCCUCCUUGGUGUUGGCAUACAAUACAGGGAGUGCAGAAUUAUUAGGCAAAUGAGUAUUUUGUCCACAUCAUCCUCUUCAUGCAUGUUGUCUUACUCCAAGCUGUAUAGGGCUUUGGAGUUGACGUCACUGGAGGUGGGCCACGCCCCCUUUCCGCCAUGACAGUAGGCUAGACACAGGAUACAGCUUCAGCUAUGGUUCGUAUGUGUUGUGUUAUCAGUUGCAACGUUUGAUCACACGAUCGUGAAGGCAAGAAGCUGGAUAAUGGGCUCUCUUUUCAUCGUUUUUCAACCUGGAGGCAACGUGAGGGAUCCCAUGUAUCCGAUAUUACUAAACAAAGACGUCAGGCUUGCAUUGCAGCGGUGAGACGAGCGGAUCGAGUUCUGUGCAAUCCCAGCUUUUUGUUGGUUUGGUCUCUGCAUCUUCUUUCCGCGCAUACACAGCAAACCAGUUUAAGAAUUAUAAAUCCCUGGAGGCCCACAUCCAAUUCACGAACGGCUGGGUGCAAGAUUUGUCCAUCUUUAUGCCUCCACGCUGCGAGUACGUUGUCGUUAAGACAAAGGUAAGUCGGUUUGAACUUGAUAACUUUCUAAACAACUUCCUUGUUACAGUUUUUGAUUUGCACGUACAGCCAACCCAUCUAUAUUAGCCUUGGGUCAUUACAGACCUUUUAUUAAAAGUGGUUUUUGUGUGUUUCAGGU
ensembl:lncRNA